rnacentral:rRNA from 1 species
UCGGGAAUUUUGGGCAAUGGGGGAAACCCUGACCCAGCAACGCCGCGUGAAGGAUGAAGUAUUUCGGUAUGUAAACUUCGAAAGAAUAGGAAGAAUAAAUGACGGUACUAUUUAUAAGGUCCGGCUAACUACGUGCCAGCAGCCGCGGUAAUACGUAGGGACCAAGCGUUGUUCGGAUUUACUGGGCGUAAAGGGCGCGUAGGCGGCUUGACAAGUCACUUGUGAAAUCUCUGGGCUUAACCCAGAACGGCCAAGUGAAACUGUCAUGCUAGAGUGCAGAAGGGGCAAUCGGAAUUCUUGGUGUAGCGGUGAAAUGCGUAGAUAUCAAGAGGAACACCUGAGGUGAAGACGGGUUGCUGGGCUGACACUGACGCUGAGGCGCGAAAGCCAGGGGAGCAAACGGGAUUAGAUACCCAAGUAGUCCCUGAGCGGGCUGGCAAGGCGCAU